AUUGAACGCUGGCGGCAGGCCUAACACAUGCAAGUCGAGCGGGGUUUUCGGACCUAGCGGCGGACGGGUGAGUAAUGCGUAGGAAGCUGCCCGAUAGAGGGAGAUACCAGUUGGAAACGACUGUUAAUACCGCAUAAUGUCUACGGACCAAAGUGUGGGACCUUCGGGCCACAUGCUAUCGGAUGCGCCUACGUGGGAUUAGCUAGUUGGUGAGGUAAUGGCUCACCAAGGCGACGAUCUCUAGCUGGUUUGAGAGGAUGAUCAGCCACACUGGAACUGAGACACGGUCCAGACUCCUACGGGAGGCAGCAGUGGGGAAUAUUGGACAAUGGGCGCAAGCCUGACCCAGCCAUGCCGCGUGUGUGAAGAAGGCCUUCGGGUUGUAAAGCACUUUCAGCGAGGAGGAAGGGGUGUGUGUUAAUAGUACACACCUUUGACGUUACUCGCAGAAGAAGCACCGGCUAACUCUGUGCCAGCAGCCGCAGUAACAC
rnacentral:rRNA from 1 species